GACGAACGCUGGCGGCGUGCUUAACACAUGCAAGUCGAACGAUGAAGCCUAGCUUGCUAGGUGGAUUAGUGGCGAACGGGUGAGUAAUACGUGAGUGACCUACCUUUGACUCUGGGAUAAGCCUGGGAAACUGGGUCUAAUACCGGAUACGACCAAUCUCUGCAUGGGGUGUUGGUGGAAAGCGUUAUGGAGUGGUUUUAGAUGGGCUCACGGCCUAUCAGCUUGUUGGUGAGGUAAUGGCUUACCAAGGCGACGACGGGUAGCCGGCCUGAGAGGGUGACCGGCCACACUGGGACUGAGACACGGCCCAGACUCCUACGGGAGGCAGCAGUGGGGAAUAUUGCACAAUGGGCGCAAGCCUGAUGCAGCGACGCCGCGUGAGGGAUGACGGCCUUCGGGUUGUAAACCUCUGUUAGCAUCGAAGAAGCGAAAGUGACGGUAGGUGCAGAGAAAGCGCCGGCUAACUACGUGCCAGCAGCCGCGGUAAUACGUAGGGCGCGAGCGUUGUCCGGAAUUAUUGGGCGUAAAGAGCUUGUAGGCGGUUGGUCGCGUCUGCUGUGAAGGCCGGGGCUUAACUCCGGUUUUGCAGUGGGUACGGGCUAACUAGAGUGCAGUAGGGGAGACUGGAAUUCCUGGUGUAGCGGUGGAAUGCACAGAUAUCAGGAGGAACACCGAUGGCGAAGGCAGGUCUCUGGGCUGUAACUGACGCUGAGAAGCGAAAGCAUGGGGAGCGAACAGGAUUAGAUACCCUGGUAGUCCAUGCCGUAAACGUUGGGCACUAGGUGUGGGGGACAUUCCACGUUUUCCGCGCCGUAGCUAACGCAUUAAGUGCCCCGCCUGGGGAGUACGGCCGCAAGGCUAAAACUCAAAGGAAUUGACGGGGGCCCGCACAAGCGGCGGAGCAUGCGGAUUAAUUCGAUGCAACGCGAAGAACCUUACCAAGGCUUGACAUGCAUUAGAUCGCGUCAGAGAUGGCGUUUCCCUUCGGGGCUGGUGUACAGGUGGUGCAUGGUUGUCGUCAGCUCGUGUCGUGAGAUGUUGGGUUAAGUCCCGCAACGAGCGCAACCCUCGUUCUAUGUUGCCAGCGGUUCGGCCGGGGACUCAUAGGAGACUGCCGGGGUUAACUCGGAGGAAGGUGGGGAUGACGUCAAAUCAUCAUGCCCCUUAUGUCUUGGGCUUCGCGCAUGCUACAAUGGCCGGUACAGAGGGUUGCGAUACUGUGAGGUGGAGCUAAUCCCUUAAAGCCGGUCUCAGUUCGGAUUGGGGUCUGCAACUCGACCCCAUGAAGUCGGAGUCGCUAGUAAUCGCAGAUCAGCAACGCUGCGGUGAAUACGUUCCCGGGCCU
rnacentral:rRNA from 1 species